rnacentral:rRNA from 1 species
GAUGAACGCUGGCGGCGUGCUUAACACAUGCAAGUCGAACGGUGAAGGCGGAGCUUGCUCUGCUGGAUCAGUGGCGAACGGGUGAGUAACACGUGAGCAAUCUGCCCCUGACUCUGGGAUAAGCGCUGGAAACGGCGUCUAAUACUGGAUACGAGCUGCGAAGGCAUCUUCAGCAGCUGGAAAGAAUUUCGGUCAGGGAUGAGCUCGCGGCCUAUCAGCUUGUUGGUGAGGUAAUGGCUCACCAAGGCGUCGACGGGUAGCCGGCCUGAGAGGGUGACCGGCCACACUGGGACUGAGACACGGCCCAGACUCCUACGGGAGGCAGAAGUGGGGAAUAUUGCACAAUGGGCGAAAGCCUGAUGCAGCAACGCCGCGUGAGGGACGACGGCCUUCGGGUUGUAAACCUCUUUUAGCAGGGAAGAAGCGAAAGUGACGGUACCUGCAGAAAAAGCGCCGGCUAACUACGUG